UACAGAGGGUGCAAGCGUUGUUCGGAAUUAUUGGGCGUAAAGGGUGCGUAGGCGGGUCUUUAAGUCAGGGGUGAAAUCCUGGAGCUCAACUCCAGAACUGCCUUUGAUACUGAGGAUCUUGAGUUCGGGAGAGGUGAGUGGAACUGCGAGUGUAGAGGUGAAAUUCGUAGAUAUUCGCAAGAACACCAGUGGCGAAGGCGGCUCACUGGCCCGAUACUGACGCUGAGGCACGAAAGCGUGGGGAGCAAACAGG
rnacentral:rRNA from 1 species